rnacentral:lncRNA from 1 species
CUCCUUGGGGACAGCAACCUCUUUUUCUAGCUUAGCUUCAGUCUCAGUUAUUAAUGUCAAAUUAUUGCUUCUUGUGUAGUUACUUUAUUACUCAUUGUUGGUGUUCCUAUGAGGGGGAAAUCUGUGGUGCAAUUGUGGUACCGUGGCACAGUUACAUCCAGCCGUUGGAUGUCAGUGGGUUCCACCAAUCUAAGUGCAUCCAACGGCUGGAUGUAACUGUGACACGGUACUAUAGUUGCACCGUAGCCUACUCCUCCUAUGAGAUGCUUCAGCGACAGAAUGGGAAGAUAGAUGGAAUGGGAGGUUCCUAACAAGCUGACACCUGGAUUGAUUGGGUUGAUCAUGUUAUAGUAUUGCAUUGGUUUUGAUUAAUUAUGCUGUGCUCACAAUAU